AAAGCAGGGAAAAGCUAGCAUUGUUAACUUGCAAGAAUCCACGUCAACAUCAACACAAACUUGUGGGGGUGCGCAGUACGCCUCUCUCUCUCUCUCUCUUAGUCUCUAUUAAGACAAGAGAAUCACAUAGACGGACAGACAGACGGAGACAAGAGAAUCACAUAGACGGACAGACAGACGGAGACAAGAGAAUCACAUAGACGGACAGACAGACGGAGACAAGAGAAUCACAUAGACGGACAGACAGACGGUGAAGUGAAGAGAAGAGCAACGGGCUCAAUCUCAAAAUCGGUAGCCAUUUCUCUUUCUUUUUGUACACGCAAGGACACUCAAUAAUCCACUGUCGUAAACGCACAAGUAUUAACCAGGUCCGGGGACAGCUUGCUUAAUCGGAUUCGGAAACGCACCGUUUGGACUUUGAUCAUACUCUUUAUGUGCGUGCUGCUAGCUCUUGAUGGUGGGUGAAUCAUGGAAGACACCGAGAGUUGCUGUAGCAGGCCCGUCGAUUUCUCCCCCACUCUCACCCGAAAGCAGAAGCUCAAAGUCAAUAUCUACAACGAAGUUCUCCGUCGACUUAUGAGCUCAGAUGUCGCAGACGCCAAACUUGCUGGUUUCGAAGAUGAACUCUGGGCUCAUUUUAAUCGCCUCCCCACUAGGUAUGCGUUGGAUGUGAAUGUGGAGAGGGCACAAGAUGUUCUCAUGCAUAAAAGGUUACUCCUUAUGGCACAUGACCCUGCCACAAGACCUGCAGUUGAAGUCCAUCUUGUGCAGGUUCAUUCUGCUUCUGGUUCAAACUUACCCAGGAAAGCGGAUGCUCAUUGUUCUGCUUAUGCUAGCAAACAGAGCCAUCCGCCACCAGCUUUUGGUUUGUCACCAGACCUUGAACUUGCUCUUGAAGCCGAGCAGUUACACGUGCACCAUGGGAAUAACACUGUGAACGCCAGUCAACUUUAUACACGGCCAAUGCAUGAAAUUACUAUUUCAACUAAUGACAAGCCCAAACUCCUCAGUGAGUUGACAUCCUUAUUAUCUGAUAUUGGACUGAACAUUCGAGAAGCACAUGCUUUUUCCACAACAGAUGGCUACUCUUUGGAUGUCUUUGUUGUUGAUGGUUGGGCAUGUGAGGAAACUGAGCGGCUUAGACAUGUACUGGCCAAAGAAAUACCAUGGAGUGAGAAGAAUCCUUGCUUGGAUUAUAGUGUUAUUUCCCCUGUUCCAGAGCAAGAGACUGGAAUGAUGUUUACUAAUAGUCAUGUAAGCUCACUCAAUGAGGAACAAGAUAUUUGGGAAAUUGAUGCAACCCUGUUGAGAUAUGAAAAGAAAAUUGCAUCUGGAUCGUAUGGUGAUCUGUUUCAAGGUAGUUUCUGUGGUCAAGCUGUGGCUAUUAAAGUUCUUAGUACUGAGCGCCUGAAUGAAACUAUGAGGGAGUUUACUCAAGAAGUCUAUAUCAUGAGAAAAGUUCGGCACAAAAAUGUUGUUCAAUUAAUUGGAGCAUGCACUAAACCUCCUAAGCUUUGCAUCGUUACUGAGUUUCUGUCUGGUGGAAGUAUGUACGACUUUGUGCAUAAGCAAACAGGUGCUUUAUCACUUCAGUCCUUGCUCAGAGUUGCAAUUGAUGUUUCCAGGGGAAUGAACUACUUGCACCAAAAUAAUAUAAUCCAUAGGGACUUGAAAGCUGCUAAUCUUUUGAUGGAUGAAAAUGGAGUUGUGAAAGUUGCUGAUUUUGGCGUCGCUAGAGUACAGGCGCAAUCUGGCGUUAUGACUGCAGAAACUGGCACUUAUCGUUGGAUGGCUCCAGAGGUUAUAGAGCAUAAACCAUAUGAUCACAAAGCUGAUGUGUUUAGCUUUGGGGUUGUUCUCUGGGAGCUGCUUACAGGAAAGCUUCCCUACGAGAACUUAACUCCGUUACAAGCAGCAGUUGGCGUAGUCCAGAAGGAUCCCCGAGUUGUUCUCAGGGUCUGAGGCCUACAAUUCCAAGGCACACUAAUCCAAUGUUGGUGGAAUUGAUGGAGAGAUGCUGGCAGCAGGACCCAUCAUUGAGACCUGAAUUCUCAGAAAUUGUAAAGAUGUUGCAGCACAUAGCCAGGAGGGUUGCAAAUGGAAGCGAGGAUAGACGAAAGGGAAAAUCAGCCAAAGUAGUUCCCACGUUCAAGCAAGACAGUGAAUGAGGUUUUUGUUUAUAAAUUAAUACGUGUGUAAUACAGUGUCUAAUGAUCAUUGAUCAAUCAAACUCUUCACAACUCCUUUCUUUCCCUCCCUCAACUUUAUAUGCUCCGUUGGGUUAAUCUAAGUAAUGACUAGAGACUCUUGUGCUGAUUCA